CGCCGACGACGUCCACGAUGCGACGCUCGUGAAUUCCCAUUUCAGCCCCCAUAGCUUGCAAUUCUUCCAUCUUUUCAAAAACAGAACUAACUGCAAGCUAAAUCGAUUCCGCGCUGCGCCGAUGGCUUUUAAUUCAAAAGCCCUCGAAGGCAGGGGCAUACCUUCGAGGGCUUCUGUUCAUGCGCUCUCGGGGGCACUCAAGCGCAAU
rnacentral:misc_RNA from 1 species